rnacentral:rRNA from 1 species
UCCUAAGGUAGCGAAAUUCCUUGUCGGGUAAGUUCCGACCUGCACGAAUGGCGUAAUGAUGGCCAGGCUGUCUCCACCCGAGACUCAGUGAAAUUGAACUCGCUGUGAAGAUGCAGUGUACCCGCGGCAAGACGGAAAGACCCCGUGAACCUUUACUAUAGCUUGACACUGAACAUUGAGCCUUGAUGUGUAGGAUAGGUGGGAGGCUUUGAAGUGUGGACGCCAGUCUGCAUGGAGCCGACCUUGAAAUACCACCCUUUAAUGUUUGAUGUUCUAACGUUGGCCCGUAAUCCGGGUUGCGGACAGUGUCUGGUGGGUAGUUUGACUGGGGCGGUCUCCUCCUAAAGAGUAACGGAGGAGCACGAAGGUUGGCUAAUCCUGGUCGGACAUCAGGAGGUUAGUGCAAUGGCAUAAGCCAGCUUGACUGCGAGCGUGACGGCGCGAGCAGGUGCGAAAGCAGGUCAUAGUGAUCCGGUGGUUCUGAAUGGAAGGGCCAUCGCUCAACGGAUAAAAGGUACUCCGGGGAUAACAGGCUGAUACCGCCCAAGAGUUCAUAUCGACGGCGGUGUUUGGCACCUCGAUGUCGGCUCAUCACAUCCUGGGGCUGAAGUAGGUCCCAAGGGUAUGGCUGUUCGCCAUUUAAAGUGGUACGCGAGCUGGGUUUAGAACGUCGUGAGACAGUUCGGUCCCUAUCUGCCGUGGGCGCUGGAGAACUGAGGGGGGCUGCUCCUAGUACGAGAGGACCGGAGUGGACGCAUCACUGGUGUUCGGGUUGUCAUGCCAAUGGCACUGCCCGGUAGCUAAAUGCGGAAGAGAUAAGUGCUGAAAGCAUCUAAGCACGAAACUUGCCCCGAGAUGAGUUCUCCCUGACUCCUUGAGGGUCCUGAAGGAACGUUGAAGACGACGACGUUGAUAGGCCGGGUGUGUAAGCGCAGCGAUGCGUUGAGCUAACCGGUACUAAUGAACCGUGAGGCUUAACCUU